rnacentral:rRNA from 1 species
CAGUCGCCGCGGUAAUACAGAGGGUGCAAGCGUUAAUCGGAAUUACUGGGCGUAAAGCGCGCGUAGGUGGUUUGUUAAGUUGGUUGUGAAAGCCCCGGGCUCAACCUGGGAACUGCAUCCAAAACUGGCAAGCUAGAGUACGGUAGAGGGUGGUGGAAUUUCCUGUGUAGCGGUGAAAUGCGUAGAUAUAGGAAGGAACACCAGUGGCGAAGGCGACCACCUGGACUGAUACUGACACUGAGGUGCGAAAGCGUGGGGAGCAAACAGGAUUAGAUACCCCUGUAGUCCCUGUCUCUUAUAC